CCUACGGGUGGCAGCAGUGGGGAAUAUUGCACAAUGGGGGAAACCCUGAUGCAGCGACGCCGCGUGAAGGAAGAAGGCUUUCGGGUUGUAAACUUCUUUUCUCAGGGACGAAGCAAGUGACGGUACCUGAGGAAUAAGCCACGGCUAACUACGUGCCAGCAGCCGCGGUAAUACGUAGGUGGCAAGCGUUAUCCGGAUUUACUGGGUGUAAAGGGCGUGUAGGCGGGACUGCAAGUCAGAUGUGAAAACCACGGGCGCAACCUGUGGCCUGCAUUUGAAACUGUAGUUCUUGAGUACUGGAGAGGCAGACGGAAUUCCUAGUGGAGCGGUGAAAUGCGUAGAUAUUAGGAGGAACACCGGUGGCGAAGGCGGUCUGCUGGACAGCAACUGACGCUGAGGCGCGAAAGCGUGGGGAGCAAACAGGAUUAGAUACCCUUGUAGUC
rnacentral:rRNA from 1 species